rnacentral:rRNA from 1 species
GGAGGUUGGCUUAGAAGCAGCCAUCCUUGAAAGAGUGCGUAAUAGCUCACUGGUCGAGUGGUCGUGCGCCGACAAUUCAGCGGGGCUCAAGCGCGCCGCCGAAGCCGCGGACCCGCCCCCCCUUCUUCUUCUUGUUGGGUGGGGGUCGGGUGGUAGGGGAGCGUCCUGCGUUGGGUGAAGCCCGGGGGUGACCCGCGGGUGGACGGCGUGGGAGUGAGAAUGCAGGCAUGAGUAGCGAUGACUGGGGUGGGAGUCCCCAGCGCCGAGAGACCAAGGGUUCCAGGGCCAGGUUCGUCCGCCCUGGGUGAGUCGGGACCUAAGGCGAGGCCGACAGGCGUAGUCGAUGGAUGACGGGUUGAUAUUCCCGUACCGGCGAAGCACCGACCAUGCUGACGCGCGGGUGCUAACCCACGCCUCUGCUGCCACGACAAGCCGCGGUCGUCUCCUUCGGGGGGUGGUCGUGGUUGUGGUGGCGGGUGGUCUGGGGGUCCUCCGUGCUGGUAGGCAAGCGUGUUAACAGGGGUGACGCACAGUGGUAGCCUCGCGGGCCUGAUGGCUUGGCCCGUUCAAGCGCGCGGCCCGGUCCCCAGGCAAAUCCGGGGGCCUGCCCCGCCGCCCCCUUGCGGGGGUGGUGGGGUGUGGGUGAGGCGUGAUGGUGACCCCGCAGCUGGCGGGGGAUAGCAGGGUGAUCCUGGGGUGCCGAGAAAAGCCUCGACGUGAUGGUGUCAGCCGCCCGUACCCUAAACCGACACAGGUGGUCCGGCAGAGUAUGCCUAGGCGAGCGAGUGAACCGUGGUGAAGGAACUCGGCAAAAUGCCCCCGUAACUUCGGGAGAAGGGGGGCCCGAACCCUGAAGCCCCUUUUGCGGGCUAGGGGGGUGGGUCGCAGAGGCCAGGGGGAAGCGACUGUUUACUAAAAACACAGGUCCGUGCGAAGCCGUAAGGCGAUGUAUACGGACUGACGCCUGCCCGGUGCUGGAAGGUUAAGAGGAACCAUCAACCCCCUUGUGGGGUGAAGUGGUGAAUUUAAGCCCCAGUAAACGGCGGUGGUAACUAUAACCAUCCUAAGGUAGCGAAAUUCCUUGUCGGGUAAGUUCCGACCUGCACGAAUGGCGUAACGACUUCCCCGCUGUCUCCACCACGGGCUCGGCGAAAUUGCAGUACGAGUAAAGAUGCUCGUUACGCGCAGAAGGACGGAAAGACCCCGGGACCUUCACUACAGCUUGGUAUUGGCGUCCGCCAUGGUUUGUGCAGGAUAGGUGGGAGACGUUGAGGCCGUCGCGUCAGCGGCGGCGGAGUCGUUGUUGAGAUACCACUCUGGCUGUGGCGUGCGCCUGAACCUGGGCCCGUGAUCCGGGUCAGGGACAGUGCCUGGUGGGUAGUUUAACUGGGGCGGUUGCCUCCUAAAAGGUAACGGAGGCGCUCAAAGGUUCCCUCAGCCUGGUCGGCAACCAGGUGGCGAGUGCAAGUGCACAAGGGAGCUUGACUGCGAGACCGACGGGUCGAGCAGGUGCGAAAGCAGGAACUAGUGAUCCGGCGAUCCCGUGUGGAUGGGUCGUCGCUCAACGGAUAAAAGGUACCCCGGGGAUAACAGGCUGAUCCUGCC